rnacentral:rRNA from 1 species
UACGUAGGCAGCGAGCGUUGUUCGGAAUUACUGGGCGCAAAGAGUGUGUAGGCGGUGUUCCCAGUCUGUUGUGAAAUCUCCCGGCUUAACUGGGAGGGUGCAGCGGAAACUAGAAUGCUAGAGGGUGGGAGAGGUAAGCGGAAUUCCUGGUGUAGCGGUGAAAUGCGUAGAUAUCAGGAGGAACACCUGUGGUGUAGACAGCUUACUGGACCACUUCUGACGCUGAGACACGAAAGCGUGGGUAGCAAACAGG